rnacentral:lncRNA from 1 species
UGCCUGAGUAAGCCCCAUGGGAACACAGCCGUGGUGGGAAGCAGCUUCCCAGCAGCCCUCCCCGCCAUCGGGAGAAUCCCCUGAGGCCAUGAGAGGGUCUCAGGGAGGUGGACGGCCCAUCAAGUGAGAACCGAGGGCACUGUGCACUCCUGAAUCCUAGGACUCCUCUUAGGUGCAUAUGCACAGAAAGUUCUAGAAGAACCCAGGAGGCAGUGUGAGCCUGAGAAGCAAAACCACAAAGAGAACAGAGGGAAACUCACGGACAAUGGUGGGAGAAGCAGAGCCAGUGUGCACAGAGCAGUAAAGGGCAGAACCAGGAGCCGACAAGAGUCUCGAAGCCUCAGGCGGGGCGCCAGGGAGGUCUGCAGCUGACAGUGAGGGGAUCAGUGCCACCCAGGUCCUCUAUGGGAUUCCUGAAUUGUUGUGGAGACUGGAGCAGCUGGGAUCCCUCGCUCUCAUGUUUUCAGUUCUCUGUGGGGCUUGAAGGUGUGGCUGCCGUGUGGAAAUGGACUCAGGUGUGUCUUGUCUCUACUUGGGGUACAAUUAAUAGCAGAGCCAGUCAUGUCCUACCAGCAUUCCUUUUAUACAGGCUGGAUAUAUGUGUCAUUGACUAACAACAUCAACAAUGAAAUGAAUCUGAGAAAACAGGAAAUUGAGAGCAAGAGAAAAAAAAGUUAAUUAUACUGAUUUUGUAUAAGACCCCUUUGAACACAUUUUUAAAAAAUCAAAUAGAAGGUGCCCAGGUCCACUGUGCCUUGUGAAUAUUUGUCUUGUAUAUCCUAGAGAUCUACGCAUUCAUGUGGGAAUUGAAAAGGACCCACAUUUUACUAGAAGCAUCGUUCAUUUUUGCCUCAAAACAAUGCCCACAUGUCAGAAGAACUUUCACAAUUCACAGGAACAGUGACCUAAUUAACCAACCAUAAAAUUGCCAAAUCCCUACUUCUCAUUG